ACGAUGAUGCCCAGCUUGCUGGGCGGAUUAGUGGCGAACGGGUGAGUAAUACGUGAGUAACCUGCCCUUGACUCUGGGAUAAGCCUGGGAAACUGGGUCUAAUACUGGAUACUACCUCUUACCGCAUGGUGGGUGGUGGAAAGGGUUUUACUGGUUUUGGAUGGGCUCACGGCCUAUCAGCUUGUUGGUGGGGUAAUGGCUCACCAAGGCGACGACGGGUAGCCGGCCUGAGAGGGUGACCGGCCACACUGGGACUGAGACACGGCCCAGACUCCUACGGGAGGCAGCAGUGGGGAAUAUUGCACAAUGGGCGGAAGCCUGAUGCAGCGACGCCGCGUGAGGGAUGACGGCCUUCGGGUUGUAAACCUCUUUCAGUAGGGAAGAAGCGAGAGUGACGGUAC
rnacentral:rRNA from 1 species